UCAAAAUUAGAUUGAUCUAACCAUAUGUGCAAAAUACAUGAUAACGUAUAUUUAGAUAAGACAGCGUUAUACGUGAAACUGCGAUAAAUAGUAACGGACGUAAGCAGUAAUGUUGUUUCUACAUAGCGGACAAGUUGUGAUAUCCGGUCCGCAAUAUUCGCACACACUGUAAGAAAACAAAGCGAAUUUAUUGCAAGAUCUACUGACGUGUGCACCACGUCGUUUUCUGAGAAAUCAGAUUACGCGCGUGCAUAUAUUGAACAUAUGACGUAGCAUAUUGGACACAAGAGAUAGAGUUGCUUGCAUAUCAUUUACACAAAAGAUUAUUGCAACGAGAAAUGCUAAAUUA